AACGCUGGCGGAAUGCUUUACACAUGCAAGUCGAACGGCAGCACGGGAGCUUGCUCCUGGUGGCGAGUGGCGAACGGGUGAGUAACACAUCGGAACAUGCCUAGUCGUGGGGGAUACCGUAGCGAAAGUUACGUUAAUACCGCAUACGUCCUGAGGGAGAAAGCAGGGGAUUCGCAAGAACCUUGCGCGAUUAGAGUGGCCGAUGCCUGAUUAGCUUGUUGGUGGGGUAAAGGCCUACCAAGGCGACGAUCAGUAGCGGGUCUGAGAGGAUGAUCCGCCACACUGGAACUGAGACACGGUCCAGACUCCUACGGGAGGCAGCAGUGGGGAAUUUUGGACAAUGGGGGCAACCCUGAUCCAGCCAUUCCGCGUGAGUGAAGAAGGCCUUCGGGUUGUAAAGCUCUUUCAGCGGGAACGAAACGGUACGCUCUAACAUAGUGUGCUAAUGACGGUACCCGCAGAAGAAGCACCGGCUAACUACGUGCCAGCAGCCGCGGUAAUACGUAGGGUGCGAGCGUUAAUCGGAAUUACUGGGCGUAAAGCGUGCGCAGGCGGCUUUUUAAGCCAGACGUGAAAUCCCCGGGCUUAACCUGGGAAUGGCGUUUGGAACUGGAAGGCUAGAGUGUGUCAGAGGGGGGUAGAAUUCCACGUGUAGCAGUGAAAUGCGUAGAGAUGUGGAGGAAUACCGAUGGCGAAGGCAGCCCCCUGGGAUAACACUGACGCUCAUGUACGAAAGCGUGGGUAGCAAACAGGAUUAGAUACCCUGGUAGUCCACGCCCUAAACGAUGUCAACUGGUUGUUGGGAGAGUGAAAUCUCUUAGUAACGAAG
rnacentral:rRNA from 1 species